rnacentral:rRNA from 1 species
UCAAACGCGUAGGACGUUGAAGGGUGUAGGUAAGUCCGCACCCCCGAGUCCGAAACGUGAUGGCGGUGCCUUAGAGCCACAAGUGAUUGAGCCAUGCCGCCUAGAAAAGCUUCUAAGCGUUGAUAUUUGAGUGACCGUACCGCAAACCGACACUGGUAGGUGGGUAGAAUAUACCAAGGGGAGCGAGAGAACCUUCGUUAAGGAAUUAGGCAAAUUUCCCCCGUACGUUCGCAAUAAGGGGGGCCUCUGGUGGUGAGCUUAAUCGCAAAGCUGCUGGAGGCCGCAGAGAAAUGGCUCUUCCAACUGUUUAACAAAAACACAGGUCUCUGCUAAGUCGAAAAACGAAGUAUAGGGGCUGACGCCUGCCCAGUGCUGGAAGGUUAAGGGGAGAGGUUAGGCGCAAGCCGAAGCUUUGAGCCGAAGCCCCAGUGAACGGCGGCCGUAACUAUAACGGUCCUAAGGUAGCGAAAUUCCUUGUCGGGUAAGUUCCGACCCGCACGAAUGGCGUAAUGAGAGGAGCACUGUCUCAACGAGGGACUCGGCGAACAUUGAAGGACGUGUGAAGAUACACGUGACCCGCAGCGGGACAAAAAGACCCCGUGAAGCUUUACUACAACUUGCCAUUGAGUUAGGGCUAAACCUGUGUAGUAUAGGUGGGAGGCUUUGAAGCUGGGACGCCAGUCUCGGUGGAGCCACCGUUGAAAUACCACCCUGGUUUAUUCUUGGCUCUAACCUGUCGCCGUUAUCCGGCAUGGGAACAGUGGCUGGUGGGUAGUUUGACUGGGGCGGUCGCCUCCGAAAGCGUAACAGAGGCGCCCAAAGGUUCCCUCAGGCUGAAUGGAAACCAGCCGUUGAGUGUAAAGGCACAAGGGAGCUUGACUGCAAGACCAACAAGUCGCGCAGGGACGAAAGUCGGGCUUAGUGAUCCCACGGUUCAGAGUGGAAUGGCCGUGGCUUACCGGAUAAAAGCUACUCCGGGGAUAACAGGGUAGUCUGGUCCAAGAGUUCAUAUCGACGACCAGGUUCGCCACCUCGAUGUCGGCUCAUCACAUCCUGGGGCUGGAUAAGGUCCCAAGGGUUGGGCUGUUCGCCCAUUAAAGUGGUACGUGAGCUGGGUUCAGACCGUCGUGAGACAGGUCGGUCUCUAUCCGCUGUGGGCGUAAGGGAUUUGAGAGAAGCUGCCCCUAGUACGAGAGGACCGGGGUGGACGGACCUCUAGUGUGCCAGUUGUUCUGCCAAGAGCAUUGCUGGGUAGCUACGUCCGGCAGAGAUAACCGCUGAAAGCAUCUAAGUGGGAAACUCGUCUCAAGAUUAGAUCCCUCAUCCGUAUGGAGUAAGACCGCUAGAAGACGACUAGUUUGAUAGGCGGCAGGUGUAAGCGCAGUAAUGUGUUCAGCUUAGCCGUACUAAUGGUCGAGGGCUUACGUUG